GACGAACGCUGGCGGCGUGCCUAAUACAUGCAAGUCGAACGCAGUGGGGACGGGUGGGUAACACGUGGGUAACCUCCCAUCAGAGGAGAUAACACUUGGAAACAGGUGCUAAACCGAUACUGAUGGAUGGACCCGCGGUGCCUUAGCUAGUUGGUGGGGUAACGGCUCACCUAGGCGACGAUCUCUAGCUGGUCUGAGAGGAUGAUCAGCCACACUGGGACUGAGACACGGCCCAGACUCCGACGGGAGGCAGCAGUGGGGAAUAUUGCACAAUGGGCGCAAGCCUGAUGCAGCCAUGCCGCGUGUAUGAAGAAGGCCUUAGGGUUGUAAAGUACUUUCAGUGGGGAGGCGUUACCCGCAGAAGAAGCACCGGCUAACUCCGUGCCAGCAGCCGCGGUAAUAC
rnacentral:rRNA from 1 species